CUCCCCACUAGAUUAUUAGCUCCAUAUGGGUAGGGGUUCCUGUGAUUGACACUGUGCUACAGUCCUUGGCACAUGUGAGGUGCUCUACCUGACAAACAUGGACUGCCAGCCUGCCGACAGCCUCUGCAGAAACUCCGCACACCCUUCCGUUGAGUGUUCUGAGGAAGUAACCAUCUUCAGACAGGGAAAUUUUUGCUGAACUGGAAAAACAGUAGGAGUGUUUUGCCUUCACUCCAUCACCGAAUAGCAGGUGUCCAGGUUCUGGUUGCCUGUUACACGUAAGUGCCCCCAAUCCUGUUUUUCCUACGUGUGGUUGGUGUUUUGAACAUAUUCAAUGCUUGUGUUUGUUAUCUUUACUCGAGACUCCUACCCUCCCCCAGUCACUAUAUUCAUUACCCUGAGCCUUUCAACCUGGGGCUGUAGACCAGGGUGAAAAAAAAAAACCAACACACAAUUGCUCUUAAGCUCAGAAAAUUGAUUUUCCCGAGUUUAAGUGGGCAUCAUGAGUUGUUAACCCUGUUAGAAAAAUACAAGUUGGAUUUAUGAUUCCCU
rnacentral:lncRNA from 1 species